UUGGUAAAUGAAAAUAUAUUCUUGAUUUUAUAAGGGAAACAGUGAUAGGGCUACUCUCUAUUGGCAUGCAAUUGUAUAUUUCAGCUGACACGCCAAAGGAGAGCUGCCCUGUUACUGUCUCUGCUUAAUCUACAUGCCAUUCGGGCACUCAUAAUAUAGUGUGAUGUCUUGAAGACAAGCUGCUUGGAUGGUUCAAAAUAUAUCCAAAGCUAGGAAAUUAACACUUUGGAAAUUCAGGUUACAGGAUGGAUGAGGUUGUGACUUAUCCAAAGAGGACUCUUUCCCUGUUAAUCAUGAUAUUGGGGAGCUCAACAUUUGAUUCGGAAAAGACCAAUUGGUUCAGCUGCAGCUCAGAGAUCAUUUUACAGUUGUAACAUUCGACUUGUAGUUUUAUUCUUAGCCAUUCUAUGUGUAAUUACAAAUACUUGAUUCAUUUAUGAAAUAAA